rnacentral:rRNA from 1 species
AUUGAACGCUGGCGGAAUGCUUUACACAUGCAAGUCGAACGGUAGAGGGGGCAACCUCUCGAGAGUGGCGAACGGGUGAGUAAUAUAUCGGAACGUGCCCAGUCGUGGGGGAUAACGUAGCGAAAGUUACGCUAAUACCGCAUACGAUCUACGGAUGAAAGCGGGGGACCGUAAGGCCUCGCGCGAUUGGAGCGGCCGAUAUCAGAUUAGGUAGUUGGUGGGGUAAAGGCUCACCAAGCCAACGAUCUGUAGCUGGUCUGAGAGGACGACCAGCCACACUGGAACUGAGACACGGUCCAGACUCCUACGGGAGGCAGCAGUGGGAAUUUGGACAAUGGACGCAGGUCUGAUCCAGCCAUUCCGCGUGCAGGAUGAAGGCCUCGGGUUGUAAACUGCUUUGUACGGAACGAAAAGGCUCUGGUUAAUACCUGGGGCUCAUGACGGUACCGUAAGAAUAAGCACCGGCUAACUACGUG